CCAUCAUUAAGUUGGGCACUCUAAGUUGACUGCCGGUGACAAACCGGAGGAAGGUGGGGAUGACGUCAAAUCAUCAUGCCCCUUAUGAUUUGGGCUACACACGUGCUACAAUGGACAAUACAAAGGGCAGCGAAACCGCGAGGUCAAGCAAAUCCCAUAAAGUUGUUCUCAGUUCGGAUUGUAGUCUGCAACUCGACUAUAUGAAGCUGGAAUCGCUAGUAAUCGUAGAUCAGCAUGCUACGGUGAAUACGUUCC
rnacentral:rRNA from 1 species